AGUGAACGCUGGCGGUAGGCCUAACACAUGCAAGUCGAACGGCAGCACAGUAAGAGCUUGCUCUUACGGGUGGCGAGUGGCGGACGGGUGAGGAAUACAUCGGAAUCUACUUUUUCGUGGGGGAUAACGUAGGGAAACUUACGCUAAUACCGCAUACGACCUACGGGUGAAAGCAGGGGAUCUUCGGACCUUGCGCGAUUGAAUGAGCCGAUGUUGGAUUAGCUAGUUGGCGGGGUAAAGGCCCACCAAGGCGACGAUCCGUAGCUGGUCUGAGAGGAUGAUCAGCCACACUGGAACUGAGACACGGUCCAGGCUCCUACGGGAGGCAGCAGUGGGGAAUAUUGGACAAUGGGCGCAAGCCUGAUCCAGCCAUACCGCGUGGGUGAAGAAGGCCUUCGGGUUGUAAAGCCCUUUUGUUGGGAAAGAAAAGCAGCAGGUUAAUACCCCGCUGUUCUGACGGUACCCAAAGAAUAAGCACCGGCUAACUUCGUG
rnacentral:rRNA from 1 species